CGGGUGAGUAACACGUGGAUAACCUACCUAUAAGACUGGGAUAACUUCGGGAAACCGGAGCUAAUGCCGGAUAAUAUAUUGAACCGCAUGGUUCAAUAGUGAAAGACGGUUUUGCUGUCACUUAUAGAUGGAUCCGCGCCGCAUUAGCUAGUUGGUAAGGUAACGGCUUACCAAGGCAACGAUGCGUAGCCGACCUGAGAGGGUGAUCGGCCACACUGGAACUGAGACACGGUCCAGACUCCUACGGGAGGCAGCAGCC
rnacentral:rRNA from 1 species